GUUCAGUCAAGCCACAGUUCCAGAGCUCGAUGGCCACAAGUGGCUCCUGUGUCUACGAGACAGGCAGAGGGCCGGGAUAGCGCUGCAUCAUGUAUUCAGGAAGGGAGCAGGAACCUCCUCUCUUCAUUCUCUACCCUUCUCUCUGGAAUCUCAUGGGUAUCUCCUCUCGGUGACUGUUCUUAUUGCCACGUGAAUGGGCCAAGGAGGACGGAGGGCAGAAAAGAGACUUGACAGUUUCCUGCCCCAGCUAGAAACAGAUGGCUCACUUAAAGUGGAUAAUUUGAAGAGCACUGAAUAGAGGAAUUGUUUACAGAGUUGUCACAGGAUACAGGAAUCAAAAAGACAGUGAUGUUUCCACAGUCUGGCAAAAUCUGGAAGCCCACCUUUGUGAGAAGAGAGAAGCCAGGACCCCUGGUGAAGGGAUCAUGCUGAGCCCCUACACAGCUGCAGGCAGAGGACUGGUCAUGAAGGAAAGGUGGACCUUGUGAAUAGAGGUCUGGGGCUUGGAGCCAGGUGAUAUCAGCCUGACCCCCAGGGAGGGCGGGGGCUGGAGCUGGAGUUUGAUCACCUGGCAAUGACUCCCAUCAGUCACACCCAUGGAAUGAAGCCCCAGUAAGAACUCUGGCCACCAAGGCUCAAGGA
rnacentral:lncRNA from 1 species